rnacentral:rRNA from 1 species
UACAGAGGUCUCAAGCGUUGUUCGGAUUCAUUGGGCGUAAAGGGUGCGUAGGUGGCGGGGCAAGUUUGGUGUGAAAUCCUAGGGCUCAACCCUGGAACUGCACUGAAUACUGCUUUGCUAGAGUACUGGAGAGGGGAACUGGAAAUUUACGGUGUAGCAGUGAAAAUGCGUAGAUAUCGUAAGGAAGACCAGUGGCGAAGGCGAGUUCCUGGACAGUUACUGACACUGAGGCACGAAG